UACGUAGGCAGCGAGCGUUGUUCGGAAUUACUGGGCGUAAAGAGUGUGUAGGUGGUGUCGUAAGUUUGGUGUGAAAUCUCCCGGCUUAACUGGGAGGGUGCGCCGAAGACUGCGAUGCUGGAGUAUGGGAGAGGAAAGCGGAAUUCCUGGUGUAGCGGUGAAAUGCGUAGAUAUCAGGAGGAACACCGAUGGCGAAGGCAGCUCGCUGGGACGGUACUGACGCUGAGGCGCGAAAGCGUGGGGAGCGAACAGG
rnacentral:rRNA from 1 species